GGCGGCGUGCCUAAUACAUGCAAGUCGAGCGAAUCUUUGGGAGCUUGCUCCCAAUGGUUAGCGGCGGACGGGUGAGUAACACGUGGGCAACCUGCCUGUAAGACUGGGAUAACUUCGGGAAACCGGAGCUAAUACCGGAUAAUUCAUUUCCUCUCAUGAGGAAAUGCUGAAAGACGGUUUCGGCUGUCACUUACAGAUGGGCCCGCGGCGCAUUAGCUAGUUGGUGAGGUAACGGCUCACCAAGGCAACGAUGCGUAGCCGACCUGAGAGGGUGAUCGGCCACACUGGGACUGAGACACGGCCCAGACUCCUACGGGAGGCAGCAGUAGGGAAUCUUCCACAAUGGACGAAAGUCUGAUGGAGCAACGCCGCGUGAGCGAUGAAGGCCUUCGGGUCGUAAAGCUCUGUUGUUAGGGAAGAACAAGUACCGGAGUAACUGCCGGUACCUUGACGGUACCUAACCAGAAAGCCACGGCUAACUACGUGCCAGCAGCCGCGGUAAUACGUAGGUGGCAAGCGUUGUCCGGAAUUAUUGGGCGUAAAGCGCGCGCAGGCGGUCUUUUAAGUCUGAUGUGAAAGCCCACGGCUCAACCGUGGAGGGUCAUUGGAAACUGGGGGACUUGAGUGCAGAAGAGGAAAGCGGAAUUCCACGUGUAGCGGUGAAAUGCGUAGAGAUGUGGAGGAACACCAGUGGCGAAGGCGGCUUUCUGGUCUGUAACUGACGCUGAGGCGCGAAAGCGUGGGGAGCAAACAGGAUUAGAUACCCUGGUAGUCCACGCCGUAAACGACGAGUGCUAAGUGUUAGGGGGUUUCCGCCCCUUAGUGCUGCAGCUAACGCAUUAAGCACUCCGCCUGGGGAGUACGGCCGCAAGGCUGAAACUCAAAGGAAUUGAC
rnacentral:rRNA from 1 species